UACGGAGGGUGCGAGCGUUGUCCGGAAUCACUGGGCGUAAAGGGCGCGUAGGCGGUGGCCUAAGCGUGCGGUGAAAGCCUGGGGCUCAACCCCGGGUCGGCCGUGCGAACUGGGCGACUUGAGCACUGUAGAGGCAGGCGGAAUUCCGGGUGUAGCGGUGGAAUGCGUAGAGAUCCGGAAGAGCACCGGUGGCGAAGGCGGGUCUCUGGGCCGAUACUGACGCUGAGGAGCGAAAGCGUGGGGAGCGAACAGG
rnacentral:rRNA from 1 species